UACGGGGGGUGCGAGCGUUGUCCGGAAUCACUGGGCGUAAAGCGCACGUAGGCGGGCUCUUAAGUCGGUGGUGAAAUCCUGGAGCUCAACUCCAGAACUGCCUCCGAUACUGAGAGUCUUCGAGUUCGGGAGAGGUGAGUGGAACUGCGAGUGUAGAGGUGAAAUUCGUAGAUAUUCGCAAGAACACCAGUGGCGAAGGCGGCUCACUGGCCCGAUACUGACGCUGAGGUGCGAAAGCGUGGGGAGCAAACAGG
rnacentral:rRNA from 1 species